AUGCAGCAGCGGCAGAAUGAGCAGUGGAAAAGGGCGAUGAAGACUCACAGCCGAGAUGGGCUAUAAUAGGGCGGAGGACAGGUCGAGACUUCUCCUCCUGAGCAAGAUCUGAGAGAAGAGGAGGCAGACAACGAGAAGUGAGCUUCAGGAGCAGAGGCGAACAUGGCUUUUACAGUGGAGAAGAAGCUCUCAUGCCAAUGUCAAAUAUGGUUACUACGAUGCACUAAAUCAUGCUGCUGUAAGCGAAGAGGAAGCAGCUUGGUAGCAAGGUCGUGAUGCCGGAAAGCUAAUCGGUGGAGAGAUUCACCGUUGGAGCUGGAAGAGAAGAAUGGUGGUAGAUAUCUUGCCAUUGAAGAUGUUAUCGACUGUGAGGCAAAGGUCAGAUCAAAGUAGGAGCUCCUUGCAGAGGCAAGCCACUAGAAAAAUAUGAUGAGUAGGCAAUACUCUUUGGUGAAUCUGUGAGAACAUGCAAAUAAAAAACAAUUUGAGUCCAAGGCAUUUGAUUUAUAUAAAUAAUACUCACCAAAUAAAGGAAUGCUGGAAAAUUUUAUGAAUGAAGCUCAUGAGAAAUUGAAGAAUCUAAUGAAAAAGAAAUGCUUGAUAGAGGACAAACAUGGUUCCUGAGAUUGCAUAAGGAUAUUCCUUGCUUGCACCUUAUAAUUAACAAAAAAGGUAUCUCGCAUAAUUUAUGAUUUGAAAUCAUGUACUCAUUUUAUUACAUGUAACUUUUGUAAAUUAAAUUACUGCUAAAACUUGAAAGGUAGAUGCAAUGAUGAAAGUUAUCCUUUUAUGUCAUUUCAAGACAUGAUCUAAACAUAUGGUGCUAACCUUUGCUCUUUUAUAUUUUUUUGCAACGAUGAAACAGUUGUUUUCAGUAGCUGAAGAAUUUGGUUACUCUAAAUGGAUUCAAUUUAAUACUCCAGUUGUUCAAAUAAAAGUAACAAAGAACAUCCUGUGUUUUGGCUUUCUUUUGAUUUUAAUGCAUUCUCUUUUAUUAAAAUGCCUAUUGCUACUCAAGAAAAUGAGAAUUUAUGUUGAAAAAUUUUUCAAUCACCGGACAAAUAUACAGGUCUUAAAAUU